GAUUUGGAGUCCUUUUGCUCCAUAUACAUCGUUUAAAAUCAUGGUUGAUUUAAUUAAUUUUUUAUGAUUAUUGUGAAUUUUAAGGUAUUAAAUUAAUGAAUGUAGUAUGAGUGGGAAUGGUAAUAAUAGUAGUACUCAGAGAAUGUUUAGAGAUCAGCCAUCUCGUUACCUGUGCGUCCCGCGUCCGAGACGCAUAAUUUUCCCACGGGACGCACAGUUCGAAACAAUGUGCGUUGUUGGGACGCAAGGAAAUUUCUCAGUCAAAACAAACAAACAAACAAAAAAACUACGGCAAGCCUGAGGAUUUCACAGUAAGUGUUGGGGGGGACACAACAGAUGACGUUAUGUGCGCAUGCGGGUUGUUAUUUUAGUCCGCAAACUGAGGAAUCGCGCGGAUGAUAGUAUUAGAUGAUGGCGAAAAAAACUCACCAAGGUCUACUCAUUACGAUAUUCAAGAAAUGGGAAUGCCUGUCUGAUUUUUCGUAUGAAUCGUCCAAAGGGCGUAUCACUAAACUCACCUGUGACGUACAGUAUGCACAGAACGCGAGAGCGAAAUACGACGCGAGGCACGAUUACGAGGCAAAUUGGUCAUUAGAUUUGUAGGCUAAUCGCUGUGAAAAAUAUUAUGAAACAGUAUUGGUUAUUCUACAAUUUACUGGUUGUAGCAUGGUAACUUUAUGAAUAAAACAUUCGUCACAAGGUGUAGUAAUGAUAAUGUUAACUGUUGGUAGAACUAAUGAUGACGUGUGUUAAAUUAUUUUGUCAAAUUGAUCGUAGAUUACACAUGCAUCGUCUUGGGAAGAGGAUGUCAAGCCACAUCAAUACUUACCUGUAUUAAUGAUUACCAGUCAAUUAAUCUUUGCAGUGUGAGAUUGGAAAAAAUACUUUGAUGAUGCCACAUGAGUACACCAGUUUUUGAUCCAUUUAUUUUUUGGAAUUAACCUGGAGUACACAGCUGCGGAUAUAAUGUUCAUUGUUAAUGCAUUGUUUUCAAACAUUGACCCUUGAAACAUUAUACUUUUGAGUUUCAGAAUUCUUGACUAUCAAUAUCAGUCAAAAUAGAAAAAUGGGUUCCCAUGAUGAACGGUUACGGAACCCAACAUUUGUUAUCGUGGUUUCCCAUUGGGUAAUCCAACGGAACGGAAAAACGGUUCCCAUGAAUUUCCGAAAUCCUCAGGCCUGCUCCUGAAUUAUUUUAAUUUUUGCAGCAUUUGUGUAUCAUUGUAUGUAACGUAUAUGUUGUUGUUAUUAUCAUAUGCAAUUGAAUAAGUAGACCCUUUCAGAAUUCGAAAUUUGGGCCUCUCUCAAUCCAUAAUGGCACUCAUACUUUUCUGAUCAGCGAGUCCCUGGGACUCGCUGCCGGUAAACUGUAAAAUUAUCACUGAGAGAUUACCGCUUUUUCUGCAGUCAGUGAUUGACUUCUAUGCAAAGUCAUUUCUCAACUUGUGUUCCAUGCCAUGUCAUGCCUGUUGAGUGUUGAUUUACUUCAUAUUAAGAAACUACUGCACUAAAACAUUUAUUCAUAAAUGUAUACCAUAUGAUUUUAUUUUUUUUCUCAGUAUAAAUAACACGUACCCUGACUGUUCUACUCUUUGAAUAAAAACACUUCAUUCAAGCAUUAGGGAGUGCAAAGGGUUAUGAUGGAGGGGUGUUGCAAAUCAUGAAGACCUGCCAAGUGGUAUGAUAGCAUUGUUUUAUACAUGUCCUCGGCUAGGCCUCAGUUUCAAAAUCAGUCCUCGUCCUUGGCCUUGGCCUCGGAGUCAAGUCCUUGGCCUUGGCCUCGGGUUGCCGGUCCAUGGACCCAACACUGGU